AUUGAACGCUGGCGGCAGGCCUAACACAUGCAAGUCGAGCGAGCGGCGGACGGGGGAGGAAGGUAGGGGGACUGCCCGAUAGAGGGGGAUAACUACGGGAAACGGUAGCUAAUACCGCAUACUAUGGGAUAAGGCAUUUGGGAUUAGCUAGUAGGUGGGGUAAUGGCUCACCUGGGCGACGAUCCCUAGCUGGUCUGAGAGGAUGAUCAGCCACACUGGGACUGAGACACGGCCCAGACUCCUACGGAGGCAGCAGUGGGGAAUAUUGCACAAUGGGCGCAAGCCUGAUGCAGCCAUGCCGCGUGUAUGAAGAAGGCCCUAGGGUUGUAAAGUACUGUCAGUCGGGAGGCGUUACCGACAGAAGAAGCACCGGCUAACUCCGUGCCAGCCGCCGCGGUAAUUC
rnacentral:rRNA from 1 species